rnacentral:rRNA from 1 species
GACGAACGCUGGCGGCGUGCUUUACACAUGCAAGUCGAACGGUGAAGGUGGAGCUUGCUCCGCCGGAUCAGUGGCGAACGGGUGAGUAACACGUGGGCAACCUGCCCCUAACUUUGGGAUAACUACUCGAAAGAGUAGCUAAUACCGGAUAUGAAGUCUGUAGGCAUCUACGGGCUUGGAAAGUUUUUCGGUUAGGGAUGGGCCCGCGGCCUAUCAGCUUGUUGGUGAGGUAGUGGCUCACCAAGGCGACGACGGGUAGCCGGCCUGAGAGGGCGACCGGCCACACUGGGACUGAGACACGGCCCAGACUCCUACGGGAGGCAGCAGUGGGGAAUAUUGCGCAAUGGGCGAAAGCCUGACGCAGCAACGCCGCGUGCGGGAUGAAGGCCUUCGGGUUGUAAACCGCUUUCAGCAGGGAAGAAGCGAAAGUGACGGUACCUGCAGAAGAAGCUCCGGCUAACUACGUGCCAGCAGCCGCCGUAA